UUGACCUCAAAUCAGGUAGGACUACCCGCUGAACUUAAGCAUAUCAAUAAGCGGAGGAAAAGAAACUAACAAGGAUUCCCCUAGUAACUGCGAGUGAAGCGGGAAAAGCUCAAAUUUAAAAUCUGGCAGUCUUUGGCUGUCCGAGUUGUAAUCUAGAGAAGUAUUAUCCGCGCUGAC
rnacentral:rRNA from 1 species